rnacentral:rRNA from 1 species
UGGGCAACCUGCCCCUCUCUCUGGGAUAACCCCGGGAAACCGGAGCUAAUACCGGAUACUCCGGCUGGAUCGCAUGGUCCGGCCGGGAAAGGUCCGCCGGAGAGGGAUGGGCCCGCGGCCUAUCAGCUUGUUGGUGGGGUCAUGGCUCACCAAGGCGACGACGGGUAGCUGGUCUGAGAGGACGACCAGCCACACUGGAACUGAGAUACGGUCCAGACCUCCGUACGGGAGCA